rnacentral:tRNA from 1 species
CGGCCCGGUGGACCGCGGCGGCCAGAGCCGUCCUGAGCGGCUCCGGCGGGGCCGGGCCGUUCGGCGCCGCGCUCGCCGU